UACGUAGGGUCCAAGCGUUAUCCGGAAUUACUGGGCGUAAAGAGUUGCGUAGGGGGCAUAGUAAGUGAAUAGGGAAAGCGUGUGGCUCAACCCUACAUCCAUUAUUUAAACUGCUAAGCUAGAAGACGAGAGAGGUAGAUGGAAUUCCUGAUGUAGGGGUAAUAUCCGUAGAUAUUAGGAGGAACACCGAUGGCGUAAGCAGUCUACUGGCUCGUUCUUGACACUAAGGCACGAAAGCGUGGGGAGCAAACAGG
rnacentral:rRNA from 1 species